CCUACGUGGGGCAGCAGUGAGGAAUAUUGGUCAAUGGGCGCGAGCCUGAACCAGCCAAGUAGCGUGAAGGAUGACUGCCCUACGGGUUGUAAACUUCUUUUAUAAAGGAAUAAAGUGAGGCACGUGUGCCUUUUUGUAUGUACUUUAUGAAUAAGGAUCGGCUAACUCCGUGCCAGCAGCCGCGGUAAUACGGAGGAUCCGAGCGUUAUCCGGAUUUAUUGGGUUUAAAGGGAGCGUAGAUGGGUUGUUAAGUCAGUUGUGAAAGUUUGCGGUUCAACCGUAAAAUUGAAAUUGAUACUGGCAGCCUUGAGUACAGUUGAGGUAGGCGGAAUUCGUGGUGUAGCGGUGAAAUGCUUAGAUAGCACGAAGAACUCCGAUUGCGAAGGCAGCGUACUAAACUGCCACUGACAUUGAUGCUCGAAAGUGUGGGUAUCAAACAGGAUUAGAGACCCGAGUAGUC
rnacentral:rRNA from 1 species